UUAGCUCCUGCACUCGUGAGAUGGCAAGAAUGAGCUUCCUUCAUGUGGUUGUUGGCACUGGAUGAGCUAAGGAAUAUUUUAAUUUGAAAUUAUGAUGAAGUUUCAUUUGUUGCUUGUGCUUUUCAUGUCAUAUCUAAGAAAUCACUGCCUAAUCCAAGGAGAGUAAUCCUCCUUGAUUAUUAAUCCUCCUUGAUUAAAUGCUCUGUCUUCUUGGCUUGCAGGGAUGGCAGCUGUACCCUCUCGGCCCACUGGGGUGGCAGCCCCAAACCUCUCAGUCCAAGGAGGCGCUGUUGGAUAGGGCUCUGCAUCUGUGGCUCUUUCUUCAGGGUUCACCGUGUUAGCCAGGAUGGUCUCGAUCUCCUGACUUCGUGAUCCACCGCGCCUGGCCGACAUCACAUUUUACUUCUGUCCAUCAGCUCCUCAGUUUAGGAAAAUCUUAUCUUCCUAACAAAUAGAAAACUCUUGUAGCUCAAAUAAGAGGAAAAGAUGAGGCCUAAUGUUUAAAGUCCUGAUGGAUUCAAAGCCCUGAUGGAGUCUCUCCACUCCUCAUACCUGAAGUCUGAAUAUUUGUCAUCUCAGAUUAUCUACAACUAAGGAGGGAACCUGACUUUUUCUUUGUCCCAGAGUGGGCAGGUUAUUCUCCCUCCCAAUACAAACCACCUUAAGGAAAAGAUACAACUUAUUGGCAUAAAUGGCUGGGAUUGUUCUGAGGUUGUUCAUAGGUUCAAAGAAAUUGCUGCAGGGACUAGAACAAGGCCUCACACCACCAAGAUUUUCCUCACUUCUUCAGGCAGCCUUCUGCCUACCUGUCCCGCAUGGCGUCAUUCCUCAGAAGGCUUCUCCAGGCUCCUGGUAAGAUGUGGUCUGGCUGCCUCUUAGUUGACUAACUGUAACUUAAAGAGGGCAUCCUUUCCCAAAGAGCUUAUAUAAAGAGAAAAACUUUUGUUGGCCCUUCAUGGGUCACAUGUCCAUUCUUGGACCAAUUACUAUAUCACAGGAAUGAAUAAAGAGCUGUGAUUGGCCAGGUUCUGCUCGUGUUCCCUUGCCGACCACAGGGGUUGUUUCUGAUGCCGAUGGGGUUUGAGUGCAGAAGAAAUGCAUGGACAGGGAAAAAAAGUAGCCAGCAAAUCUCCCUCAGGUGCAUAUUAAGAAGAAAAAUGGAACUAAAAAGGGAAAACAAUAGCAACAAAGAUCAAAAUAAAUAACAAGGAAGCGGAGAGAAGAAAGAACAUGGUGAAGAGAGUGAAACGCAUUGUCAUUUGGGGUGAAUUGCAGAAAGAAA
rnacentral:lncRNA from 1 species